AUGCACCGCCUCUCAUCUACUUCGCGACUUCCCAUCUCCUCCACGGCAUCUUCCCCGCCUCGCUGGUGGCCUUCAGCGCUUGCCCGACGAGUUAUCCCACUCCUGGCGGCUCCAAAUCCACCAGCCCGUCGUGUUUCCCGAUUUCCUCAUGGAUCUCAGAACCUGGCCACCGUCAGGCGAGUACAAGGCGAUGAGUCUGGUAAACCAUAUAGACGACUGCCCAUCUCGAUCGCUCAAAUGAUGAAAAACAUCAAGACUGACAAUUCAAAAAAAAUGAAAAAUAUUGGGACGAGGGGCACUGCCUCGGUGGUUAUAGAUGAAGAUGGGAGGAAAAGUGAUAAAGAUGCUUUUAGGACAACCUCAGAGGUUAUGGAUGACAAAAGUGAUACAUGGGGCCAAAAUGUGAACUUACCUGGUUCUGAGGAAGACCAAAGUAGCGCAGCCAAGAAUCACAUUACUGGAAUCGCUGUCAGUGAGGAUGAAGGACUCAGUGAUGAUGAAGGAUUUAGUGUGAACGGUAUACUUGCAAAAAGCAGACACCGUGAUGGUUCUAUAUACAGGGGUAUUGAUUUAUUUCAUUGGAAAAAAGAGUAUCGUAUUGCAGACCGUAAUGAGACUCGGUUGGAGCCAAUGACAUUAUCAGAUCCUGCUGCAAAUUGCAAUGUUCACGAUGGAACUUGUACUAGACAUUUUGCUCGUAGCAUGCUACAAAUUUACUCAUUAGAGUUGACUAAAAUUUCUGUGGAUGGCUUAGUAGAAUUGUAUGGAUAUGUAGCAGUGCGGGAUGAUCUGGAUCCGUUGCUUAAUUAUGUUGUCAAUAUUAGCAGGGAUGAUCCCAUCAUCGUGGAGCAGGGUUCUCUCAUCAACAUGAUUGGCCCCAAACGAGGGAUAGAUAUGGCAGAUCAUGCUCUACUUGAAUAUGACAUGAAGAUCAAGUCAGCUGGACAAGAAAAAGAUGACCUACAGCUGAUUGAUGGUGCAUCAUUCAUAGGCCCCUUAGGCUCAUGGGAUCGGCCGUACACAUUUCACAUUGCUGGUGAUUGUGGCUCAGUUGACAUAACUUUGUCACGUCUUUUAGAAGCAGUUGAGGCGACCAUAGAGGUUCUCGUAUUGGAAGUGAAAAGCUGUUUCAGUUUGUCCGUCGGAUGUUUCGCCAGUGGGUUUAAUGCAGAAAUCCGGCUCUUUGAUGGCACCAUCGCUGAUUCACAAGGCCUAAAGAGGUCGGUGGUUGCUGUAAUGGACAAUUCUUUUAUAGAUUUGAAGUUCAAGGUAGGCGCACUGUCAUCCAGUUCCGACCAACAUUGCUGUUCCUUCAAGGUGAAAAUGCAUGGGCAUGAUAUUGAAGAAAUAAAGACUGAUUUUGCAUUAAUCUUAGUGAAGGUGAUUUGGUCGACCUUGCCUAGGGGCUUUUCCGGUUAA
rnacentral:rRNA from 1 species